rnacentral:lncRNA from 1 species
AUGGGAGCAGACAGGGUUCUUGGUUCCCAGCGCCGUAUAUUUCAGCAGAAAAGACAGACGAGGAGCUUGGAACCGAACCGGCAGCCGGUGACUGCAGGGAAACUCUCGAGACGUGAGACCGCAGGAACUCGAGUGCAGCAGCCGCAAGAAGCUUCUUCUCAAAACCAUGACUGCGAUUCCACAGCCUUGAAGCUACCGCUUUGGAGCUCGCAAUCGGAUCCCGCAGUUCCCCUUCUUCGCGUGGAAACAGCCCCGAGUAGAUCACAGACAAACAGCGCUCCGCCCUCCAGUCUUCGCGGUGUAGAGAAGCACAGACCCACCCCGCACACUUAAGAAAAGCUAGUUGAAGUCCAAAGUAUGAGUUAGAAAUUGUGCGUGAAUUUUAACCAAAUGCUUCAAUAGAUGAUCAGCAUUCAUGAACAUCGAAUGAGUUUAAGCUUCUCAAAGUCAAAUUAACAUCAACUUCAAUUGAAAGUAAAUUAUCUCCCCCCAAAUUAAAGGCUUCAUUGAGGAAAGAAUGUGAAUACAAAGUUACCCCUCUCAUCUAAGUAAUUCAGCUGAUUUCUCUUUUCUAGGGCAGGAAAGUAGGUUUCAUAAGAUAGAAAGAACGUGUUCAAUAAAUUACAAUAACUGUAACACUUUGCAGCUGGUUGGCUCAGAUUUUUCUAAUAAAGUUCAAAAAUUAAGAGAUGAUUGCUUUUCAGUUUGAGACUUUUUAUAAUUCAUGCAGCCAUCUCUAAGUAAAAGUAAAAUAUAUAGUAUUCUAAAGACAGGGAUAUGGAUUUGAAUUUGAUUUAAAAAACAGCAGGCGGUAAAGCAUUCAGGCCAUUAAGACAUAAAUUAUCACUUGCGGGAGUAGAUGAGAGCUUGGUUCCGAUAGAGCUGAUGUUAAAUCAGAAUUAGAGCAACGUUCUCAGUAUGAUUUUAAGUGCUCAGGCUCCUGUUCUGAACUGCCCCUCAUUCUCCCUUCCACCCACAAAUAAAAAUGUGCGGGAUGAGGAAGACUGGUUUUACGAUGUUCCACACAAAGUAUUUCCUGCCACUCUGACCAAGUCCCAACCUGGUCUACGAAAAGAGGGUGAAUUUCCAG